CGGUUCACAGAUCCAGAGCCAGUGAGGAGCUCUUGGAGAUCAGGUGAAAGCUAAGCAGAGCAGGCACUGCCAAGACAGGCUGAGAAUCUCUCACCCCUAACACCAGAUUUCCAGAGGAGGGAAGCUGAUCAGCCAAGCCAGGCCAGAUAUCCACCCAGAUCUUCAUCUGCUGUGGCCAAGAGGAGGACCCUAUGGUUGGGAACUGGAGCCCCUAUUACCUGCUGAACACUGCUCCAGAACAUAAGAAAUGC
rnacentral:lncRNA from 10 species